UACGUAGGGUGCGAGCGUUGUUCGGAGUUACUGGGCGUAAAGGGUGUGUAGGCGGUUGUUUUAAGUUUGGUGUGAAAUCUCCCGGCUCAACUGGGAGGGUGCGCCGAAUACUGAAUGACUUGGAGUGCGGGGAGAGGAAAGUGGAAUUCCUGGUGUAGCGGUGAAAUGCGUAGAUAUCAGGAGGAACACCGGUGGUGUAGACGGCUUUCUGGACCGUAACUGACGCUGAGACACGAAAGCGUGGGUAGCAAACAGG
rnacentral:rRNA from 1 species